rnacentral:rRNA from 1 species
UGAGGGUAGGGGUGAAAGGCUAAUCAAACUUGGAGAUAGCUCGUACUCCCCGAAAUGCAUUUAGGUGCAGCGUGCAAAAAGUUUAACAGAGGUAGAGCGACUGAUUGGAUGCGAGGCUUUCACCGGCUAUCAAGUUCAGACAAACUCCGAAUGCUGUUAAAUGUUUUUGUGCAGUGAGGGCACGGGUGCUAAGGUCCGUGUCCGAGAGGAGAAGAAUCCAGACCAUCAGCUAAGGUCCCGAAAUAAUAGCUAAGUUGAACUAACGAAGUCGAACUGCAUAGACAGCUAGGAUGUUGGCUUGGAAGCAGCCAUUCAUUUAAAGAGUGCGUAACAGCUCACUAGUCGAGCGGUUUGGCGUGGAUAAUAAUCGGGCAUAAGCUAUUUACCGAAGCUGUGGAAUAUAAUAUAUUGGUAGGGGGGCAUUCCAUAUUCGUUGAAGAUAUAGGGUUACCUUUAUUGGAGGGUAUGGAAAAGCAAAUGUAGGUAUAAGUAACGAUAAGGAGGGCGCGAACCCCUCCCGCCGGAAGACUGAGGAUUCCUGAACAACGUUAAUCGGUUCAGGGUUAGUCGGGACCUAAGGAGAAGCCGAACGGCGCAUCUGAUGGAAGAACAGGUUAAUAAUCCUGUACUGGCGUAUGGAGCGAAGUGGGGACGGAGAAGUGAAAGUCCUGCGUACUGACGGAAUAGUACGUUGAAGGGUGUAGGUGUAGAUAUUCGUAGGCAAAUCCGCGUAUAGAGCCGAACCUGAAAGUACCGAGCGUCUUCGGACAAUCGGAUAUGGAUGUAAUCAGACUCCCUAGAAAAACCGCUAAGCAUAUUCAUACGGCACCCGUACCAUAAACGGACACACGUGGUCAAGUAUAAAGUAUUAAGGCGCUCGAGUGAUCCGCGGCUAAGGAACUAGGCAAAAUAGUCCUGUAACUUCGGAAAAAGGGACACCUACCCAGUGAUGGGAGGUCGCAGAAGAAUGGCCCAGGCGACUGUUUAACAAAAACAUAGGGCUUUGCCAAAUCGCAAGAUGAAGUAUAAGGCCUGACACCUGCCCGGUGCUGGAAGGUUAAGAGGAGAUGUCAUCGCAAGAGAAGCAUUGAAUUGAAGCCCCAGUAAACGGCGGCCGUAACUAUAACGGUCCUAAGGUAGCGAAAUUCCUUGUCGGGUAAGUUCCGACCUGCACGAAUGGUGUAACGAUCUGGGCACUGUCUCAGCCGCGAGCUCGGUGAAAUUGUAGUAUCGGUGAAGAUGCCGAUUACCCGCAACGGGACGAAAAGACCCCGUGAACCUUUACUGCAACUUAACAUUGAAUUUGGGUAAUUGAUGUGUAGGAUAGGCCGGAGGCUAAGAAGCAGGUACGCCAGUAUUUGUGGAGCCGUUGUUGAAAUACGGUCCUUCAGUUAUUUGAGUUCUAACCCGUAGAAAUGGGGACACUGUUUGGUGGGUAGUUUGACUGGGGUGGUCGCCUCCAAAAGAGUAACGGAGGCUUCCAAAGGUACCCUCAGGCCGAUUGGUAACCGGUCGCAGAGUGUAAUGGUAUAAGGGUGCUUGACUGCGAGACAAACAAGUCGAACAGGUAGGAAACUAGGGCAUAGUGAUCCGGUGGUUCCGCAUGGAAGGGCCAUCGCUCAAAGGAUAAAAGGUACUCCGGGGAUAACAGGCUGAUC